GCAGAUCUGGUCCUCUGACUGAGAAGUAGUCACAGUGAGCACUCCCAUCUGAAUGAAAAAGGAACAAAAUGCCAAUUGAUUUGCAUGGGAUGCAAAUUGACAUUGUGUCUUCUUAUGUUCAUAUGUUUGAAAAACUGUUCUGUUUUAUGGACCAUCUUCAACCACAGAAUUCAGGGCAACAGUUCUUUGAAUACCUUCAAAUUUUUCCCCCAUCCUCUUGAAGAGGGGGACUGAGAGAGCAGCUGGUUGGGCAUCUAGCAACUGGUGAAGGUCAACUCACGACACAGAGAGAAACAUCUGCCUUGAAGAACGUGAGUCUCCAGUGCUGGGAAAAUGUGAACAAUUGUGCUACAAAGGCAAUACUAGACCAGGAGAGGGAAAAAGGCUGUAAGUAUACUUAUCAUCUCCAAAAUAGUCUCUUUGAUUGAAACACCUAAAAUUUGAUUAAACAUUAAGUAAACAAAGAAUGCAAUGCUCUUUGGAGAACAUAUGUUACAAAUAGAAUUGAAUGCAAAAGGAAGCUAGUUCAUCUACCAAGUGGAAAAAUGCAGGUGGUUUUGAAGAAGAAACAAAGGUACAAGUUAGAGAAGUUUAUAAAAGGAUUA